rnacentral:sRNA from 1 species
GCUGGGUGUGGUAGCACGCACCUGUAAUCCUAGCAGCUCGGGAGGCUGAGGCAGGAGGAUUGUGAGUUCAAAGCCAGCCUCAGCAAAAGCAAGGUGCUAAGCAAUUCAGUAAGACCCUGUCUCUA